GAAUAGAUCGGCGUUGGCCAAACUUCUCCAUACAUUUCUUCAAGUGUGAGAACUCCUCAUAACAGAACCCAGUGAACCAUGUAUGGAACCUUCCAGUUGGGAGAGAACUUCCCUUUGGCUUCGUCUUGAUGCGGAAAAAUUUUCUUCAAUAACAGUUGCCUCGGUGUGAGCUGUCUUGGCUUGACUGUUUUGUUGAAGGCUCUGGACAUUCUGUUCUGGU
rnacentral:lncRNA from 1 species